AUUGAACGCUGGCGGAAUGCUUUACACAUGCAAGUCGAGCGGCAGCGCGGGGGCAACCCUGGCGGCGAGCGGCGAACGGGUGAGUAACAUAUCGGAACGUACCCAGUCGUGGGGGAUAACUAUCCGAAAGGAUAGCUAAUACCGCAUACGUCCUGAGGGAGAAAGCGGGGGUCGCAAGACCUCGCGCGAUUGGAGCGGCCGAUAUCGGAUUAGCUAGUUGGUGGGGUAAAGGCUCACCAAGGCGACGAUCCGUAGCGGGUCUGAGAGGACGACCCGCCACACUGGAACUGAGACACGGUCCAGACUCCUACGGGAGGCAGCAGUGGGGAAUUUUUGGACAAUGGGGGCGAACCCUGAUCCAGCCAUUCGCGUGAGUGAAG
rnacentral:rRNA from 1 species